GUUGUAUGGUUAAGUGACUAAGCGUACACGGUGGAUGCCUUGGCAGUCAGAGGCGAUGAAGGACGUAUUAACUUGCGAUAAGCCCAGAUUAGGUAGUAAAAACCACUUGAGUCUGGGAUUUCCGAAUGGGGAAACCCACUUACAUAAGUAAGUAUCGUUAUGUGAAUACAUAGCAUAACGAGGCGAACCGGGGGAACUGAAACAUCUAAGUACCCCGAGGAAAAGAAAUCAACCGAGAUUCCGAAAGUAGCGGCGAGCGAAAUUGGACUAGCCCUUAAGCUUUAUACGCGUUAGGUGAACAAGCUGGAAAGCUUGGCGAUACAGGGUGAUAGCCCCGUAACUGACGACGCAUAUUCAGUGAAAUCGAGUAGGGCGGGACACGUGAUAUCCUGUCUGAAUAUGGGGGGACCAUCCUCCAAGGCUAAAUACUACUGACUGACCGAUAGUGAACCAGUACCGUGAGGGAAAGGCGAAAAGAACCCCUGUGAGGGGAGUGAAAUAGAACCUGAAACCGUGUACGUACAAGCAGUAGGAGCAGGCUUGUCCUGUGACUGCGUACCUUUUGUAUAAUGGGUCAGCGACUUAUAUUCAGUGGCAAGGUUAACCAUCUAGGGGAGCCGUAGGGAAACCGAGUCUUAACUGGGCGUUCAGUCUCUGGAUAUAGACCCGAAACCAGGUGAUCUAGCCAUGGGCAGGUUGAAGGUUGAGUAACAUCAACUGGAGGACCGAACCGACUAAUGUUGAAAAAUUAGCGGAUGACUUGUGGCUAGGGGUGAAAGGCCAAUCAAACCUGGAGAUAGCUGGUUCUCCCCGAAAGCUAUUUAGGUAGCGCCUCGGACGAAUACUACUGGGGGUAGAGCACUGUUAAGGCUAGGGGGUCAUCCCGACUUACCAACCCUUUGCAAACUCCGAAUACCAGUAAGUACUAUCCGGGAGACACACGGCGGGUGCUAACGUCCGUCGUGGAGAGGGAAACAACCCAGACCGCCAGCUAAGGUCCCAAAUUACUACUAAGUGGGAAACGAUGUGGGAAGGCUCAGACAGCCAGGAUGUUGGCUUAGAAGCAGCCAUCAUUUAAAGAAAGCGUAAUAGCUCACUGGUCGAGUCGGCCUGCGCGGAAGAUGUAACGGGGCUAAGUAGUAAACCGAAGCUGCGGCAAUACUCUUUGAGUAUUGGGUAGGGGAGCGUUCUGUAAGCGGUUGAAGGUGUGUGGUAACGCAUGCUGGACGUAUCAGAAGUGCGAAUGCUGACAUGAGUAACGAUAAAGGGGGUGAAAAACCUCCUCGCCGGAAGACCAAGGGUUCCUGUCCAACGUUAAUCGGGGCAGGGUAAGUCGACCCCUAAGGCGAGGCCGAAAGGCGUAGUCGAUGGGAAACGGGUUAAUAUUCCCGUACUUCUUACAAUUGCGAUGGGGGGACGGAGAAGGCUAGGUGGGCCUGGCGACGGUUGUCCAGGUUCAAGUGCGUAGGCUGAAGAGUUAGGUAAAUCCGGCUCUU
rnacentral:rRNA from 1 species